CGUACAAGUCGGGGAGGCAGCGGCGCCCUGUAGCCCACAAUCCGCUAUAGUGGGGACUAUCUUUUCCGGAAGGGUUUUCGCAGUGUAUGGCAGGCUGAUUCUUAUGGCUGUGACGGCCGGGUCCCGCGCAAUGGCAUGCCGUGAACCUUGUCAGGUGGGGAACCAAGCAGCAAUAAGCGGUUCUUUGCUAUGUGCCGCGGGGAAGCCUGACCUGAGCUAUUCAAG
rnacentral:SRP_RNA from 1 species